GGCGCUAUAGUGUAGUGGUUAUCACUCGGGAUUCUGAUCUUUCUAUCGGAUAAUUUCCCGAAACCCAGGUUCGAACCCUGGUAGCGCCU